UAGAUUAGGCCUCCCACUCGUCUUAUUGGAAGAGAAGAUAACAUCGGUCCGUCCGCGCGAGGGGUGCGACGCCACUGAUUUCGCCAAUCGAUUGUUCCGUAUUCGCGGACGACUCGCGGCGACACGUCCGGGCACGAUUCGAUUGUUAACGGUUCAACGAAACUCUAAACCGCGGAAACCGCGAGACCAACCGAACCGCCGAAGAGAAUCGCGUCGCCGCGAAUUCCGUACGCAUCCCCCCGAAAACGACGCGCCACGAAAUCGAUAACCUGUACGGAAAAAAGGACACACCGCGUCUUACCUCGGUGAAAAAUUGCUGGAUCCUCGUCGCGAGAUCGGUGUGCUCUCUCCCCGUGUCCUGUCUGUCUGUCCGUCAGGCUUCAGGAUCGCCAGUCGGCGUACGUAUUCGGCAACCGAAGGCGAUGGUGAGCCGGGGUUAGGUUGAGGCGUGCCGCUCGGGCUGGCUCCUUCGGCGGAUCUUCGCAGGAGACACCUUGGAUUCGCUCGUGUAAACAGAUAUCGCAGGCGUUGCGCCGACGAGAGACGCGCGCUUCUGUUCCGUUCCGAUCCUUCUCGCGUAAAUAGAAAAGAUCCUUUCGUUUCGCGGCGCGCGGAUUCGUUCGACGGCCCACAGACAGUUUCUGCCCGAUUCUCUUGCUGCUCGCCUGCACACGAGUAUCACCACCACUUUGGGAGCACCUUCGCGGAUCGACUGGCAACUAUAUUCGUAUACGGACUACACGGGCCACCACCGUUCCCUGCCUCGGGAACCGGAGCAAUGGCUCUGCCUCUUUCUCCCUCCAGUAACCACCAGCGACAACUGGCGACGGCCAGCAAUGACCCUUAUUACCCGCACCCUUUAUCCAAUGUUUCCAGCGAUUUGGAAGGAUGCUCUUUAAUGGAACGUUUCUGGCUGCCGAUUUCGUCGCGACAUUCUUCGGCGGUCGGUGGUUGAAAAUUCGAAUCGUUCCCGCCUCGAUGGGCCACAGUGGUUCGCAACUUUGGCUAUGUUCAUGAUCAAAAUAUUCAAAGAUUUUUCGAAGAUUAUACCGAAUUUAGCGAACUGUGGUUAGUCCUUUUAUAACUAAAUACUUGAUCAUUAGACUGUGGAUCUUUAUGCAAAAUAAAACUUAUCCAAGUUAAUUGUAAGAAAUAUAAAUUAGCUUUAAGCGUCUUUUCUUUUUUGACAAUCGUGGUCUGUUGAAAAUAAUGACAGCGAUAUCCUUAAAUUCUUCUAAUGCGUCUCUACUUUUGUGCUCGAUCUAUUCAUUUUUGACGUACACGCAUAAACUCUGCUGUCUAUCGAUGACAGAAUAAUCCGUGGAAGUAGCUUCGCAGAAUUUGUUUUAUUAGACGUGUGUAUAGAAUACAAUUUUUCAAUCUACGUGAAAUCUUUCAUUCCCGGUACCAGAGUCAUCAAAGCGUUCUCCAUGUUUCUCCUUUCGGUGUCGGUUUUCAAGGUGUUCCACACGCGUUCCAGUUUCCUUUGCUGGUGACGCUAAACAAUUGUACGCAUUCGAUAAAGAUACAAGUAACGGAAGAGUUUGUCAUUCUCAGCAGUAAGCAAUCUGUGUACCUUGAUAUAGAGGAAACAAUGUUUCAGCGUUGCUCCCACGUAAAGUAUUUUCACCCGCACCAGACGGCUCGCGAUAUCGUUUAUCAGAGGAAUAGCCUUUAGUAGAAAUUUGUGCGGUCCGUGUCUAGUUUUGACUAAUGCUAUCCUCGUGUGCUCGUUGCAGUACUUGGCUAGAAGAAUAAUAGAUCAUGAGGUCGUCGGAUUACAAAGAAAAUAUGUAUUAUUGCACAUUCGGUUUUACCACUGAAGCCAGCUUUUAUCGCCGCUACACCGAAGUCACCGUACAGCUGUUGUACUUUUUGAUUUAUAGCAACGUGCAGCGUCGUGAUUUUCAGCGGAAAAUGUUUAUCGUAGUUAUCGCCGAGAGUUAUUUCGAAUACCAAAUAUCUGCAAACGAACUUAUGUAAUCGUCAACAAUAAAAGAUUAUGAUCGUCA